UACAGAGACGUCGAGCGUUGUUCGGAUUCAUUGGGCGUAAAGGGUGCGUAGGCGGUCAGGCAAGUCGGAUGUGAAAUCCCGAAGCUUAACUUCGGAAGUGCAUCCGAAACUACCUGGCUCGAGGGCUGGAGGGAGACUGGAAUCUCGGGUGUAGCGGUGAAAUGCGUAGAGAGUGGGGGAGAACACUCGUGGCGAAGGCGGCCAGCUAGACCAGUUCUGACACUGAGGCGCGACAGCGUGGGGAGCAAACAGG
rnacentral:rRNA from 1 species